rnacentral:lncRNA from 1 species
CUAGGCUAAUAGGGUGAAAGUCCUUAAUAUCAGUUGCUCUAGAUUUCUUAGGGAUCAGCACAAUAAAUGUAGUGUUUGAACUUUUCAGGAACUUGCCACAUCCAAAAAAAUAGGUAAGAACAGCCAUAAUGUUGGAUCGCAACACCUCCCAACAUGCCUUGUAGAAUGAAAAAUAAAAAUCGUCCGGUCCAAGGGCCUUAUCAUCAUUCAUGCUAAACACUACCUCCUUGAUUUCAUCCUCCCCAAAUGGUCUCUCUAACCAACCGGCAUCCUCCUCUGUGAUAAUAGAAAAAUCCAAUUCCUCCAACUUCGGCCUCCAUUCAAACUGCUCUCGAUAGAGAUUCUGCUAGAAAUUCAUCAGCUGACUUCCAGUUUCUUGUGGUUCCUCAUAAGUAACCCCAUCCACAUCUAACACUGUGAUAGAAUUGUUGCGCUUAUUAGAAUUAGCAACCUUGUGAAAAAACUUAGUGUAUUUAUCCUCCUCUUUCAACCAAGUGACCCUAGAUUUCUGGUACCAAACAAUCUCUACCAACCUCUCUAGUUUUUCCCUUAGCACUCUAUGUCUCACCUUUUCCUCCCCAGCCAACCCUUGAUUCUCCUUCCGCCUAUCCAAUUCUUCUAUAUUUGAAAGACACUGAAUUUUACGACAGUUCACAUUGCCCACAAUCUCCUCAUUCCAUCUCUUUAAAUCUUCUUUCAAAGCCUUCAACUUCUGAUCCAACACAAAACUAGGAGAUUCCCCGACUUCAUAAGAUGCCCACCAAGCCGGUACUCGUUUCCCAAAACCUUCUACUUUCAACCACAUCUUCUCAAACCUUAAAGGCCUUCUUCCACUACCCCUACUAUUCCCAGAAAGCAUAAUAGGGAAAUGAUCAGAGUACACUAUCUCCAAUCUCCUUUGAGUGACAUCUGAAUACUUGGCCUCCCACUCUUCACAAAUUAAGAACCUGUUUAUG